CUGCUGUGAUUGGGAAUUGCUGGCAGCUCACUUGCUCUGGGCCAGAAUGCUAGCAGCGCAGCUGGUUCGGCUGGCCAUCUCAUGCUGAUCACAGGCUCCGAUGGGCAAUUAUACGUGUCUUUGAUUAAUAAAAAAUGGGGCGAUAAUGAAUACUUAAUCAACGCAGCCUGGCCGGGAGGCUCUUUCAGAACCUGGGCUGGGGGUGAGGCAGGAGGUACUCAAAGGGGUCCUGGGAGGCGAAGAGG